CUGCCGGUGACAAACCGGCGGAAGGUGGGGAUGACGUCAAAUCAUCAUGUCCCUUAUGACCUGGGCUACACACGUGCUACAAUGGACGGUACAAAGGGCAGCAAAACCGUGAGGUCGAGCCAAUCCCAUAAAACCGUUUUCAGUUCGGAUUGUAGGCUGCAACUCGCCUACAUGAAGCCGGAAUCGCUAGUAAUCGCGGAUCAGCAAGACGCGGUGAAUACGUUCCUGGGCCUUGUACACACCGCCCGUCACACCACGAGAGUUAGUACUUUUCCGAAGUCGGUGGGUAAUAUUUGGAAACAACCACCAAAAGGAGGGGUUGC
rnacentral:rRNA from 1 species